GCGGAAGUGGCGGAACCGGCAGACGCGUACGUUUGAGGGGCGUAUGGGAAUUCCCGUGGGGGUUCAAGUCCCCCCUUCCGCACCA
rnacentral:tRNA from 1 species